UACGGAGGAUGCAAGCGUUAUCCGGAAUUAUUGGGCGUAAAGCGUCCGCAGGUGGCACUUCAAGUCUGCUGUCAAAGACCGGGGCUUAACCCUGGAGAGGCAGUGGAAACUGAAGCGCUAGAGUGUCGUAGGGGUAGAGGGAAUUCCUGGUGUAGCGGUGAAAUGCGUAGAGAUCAGGAAGAACACCAGUGGCGAAGGCGCUCUACUGGGCCAUUACUGACGCUGAUGGACGAAAGCUAGGGGAGCGAAAGGG
rnacentral:rRNA from 1 species